rnacentral:lncRNA from 10 species
AAUCAUCAGGUGGUGAAGCCAGCCUGACUUGUGUCCUUCCCUUCAUGGUGGUAAUUAUCCAGUUGAUAUUUAUCUUGUUCCAGUCACCUUUAGAAAGCUGUUUGUAAUUAAUCAAACUCAAUAACAGCACAAAAGUAACAACUCAGGUGAAAAGAAAACUCACUUAUGUCUUCAAUGUCCAAUCAACAUUGCCAAAUGGGAGAACAGUUUUGGAAAUCACUAGUGGGUAAAAAAGACCAAUUUGCAACUAGGCUCUCAUGCUCUGUUGAAAACUAUGUCACAAUAUCACAAUACUAGAUGCUGGGCUCAAGACAGCAAACAGAAAGCAGCAAGGGCAGUGACUGGAAGCUGGGAGAGAGGGUCAACAGCUGAAUCUCAGCCUGAUGGAGGCCAC